CGGGUGAGUAAUGUCUGGGAAACUGCCUGAUGGAGGGGGAUAACUACUGGAAACGGUAGCUAAUACCGCAUAAUGUCGCAAGACCAAAGAGGGGGACCUUAGGGCCUCUUGCCAUCGGAUGUGCCCAGAUGGGAUUAGCUAGUAGGUGGGGUAACGGCUCACCUAGGCGACGAUCCCUAGCUGGUCUGAGAGGAUGACCAGCCACACUGGAACUGAGACACGGUCCAG
rnacentral:rRNA from 1 species